UGGUGGAGUGAUUUGUCUGGUUAAUUCCGUUAACGAACGAGACCUUAACCUGCUAAAUAUGCCGCGCUAACCCGUCCAUCAAAACCCAUGCGUGGCUCACGCGGUCCGCUGCGGGGUGGUGUCGCUUCGCGGCGACGUCAUCCCGCCGGCAGGGCCCGGGUCCGUGUGGGCGGUAGGGUUCGGCGUCCGUGCUUCUUAGAGGGACUGCUGCGCGCCUAGCCAGCGGAAGUUUGAGGCAAUAACA
rnacentral:rRNA from 1 species